rnacentral:rRNA from 1 species
AAGGACGACUAUGGCGACUUAGUGGCGGACGGGUGAGUAACGCGUGGGUAACCUGCCCUGUACUGGGGGACAACAGUUGGAAACGACUGCUAAUACCGCAUAAGCGCACAGCAUCGCAUGAUGCAGUGUGAAAAACUCCGGUGGUACAGGAUGGACCCGCGUCUGAUUAGCUAGUUGGUGAGGUAACGGCUUACCAAGGCAACGAUCAGUAGCCGACUUGAGAGAGUGAUCGGCCACAUUGGGACUGAGACACGGCCCAAACUCC